rnacentral:misc_RNA from 1 species
UAGCUUAGUGGUAGAGCG